UACGUAGGGUGCGAGCGUUAAUCGGAAUUACUGGGCGGAAAGCGUGCGCAGGCGGUUUUGUAAGACAGAUGUGAAAUCCCCGGGCUUAACCUGGGAACUGCAUUUGGGACUGCAAGACUAGAGUGCGGCAGAGGGGGGUAGAAUUCCACGUGUAGCGGUGAAACGCGUAGAUAUGUGGAGGAAUACCGGUGGCGAAGGCAGCGCCCUGGGUCGACACUGACGCUCAUGCGCGAAAGCGUGGGGAGCAAACAGG
rnacentral:rRNA from 1 species